UCUCUACGAGGCCGCCACCAAUCACUUAAAAAUCACACCUUUAUAACUGGAAACCAGCACGCCUCCACAUCCACCGCACGCCUAUCAAAGGGAAAAAACAAACACUCAUCAACUCAGCAAGGACGCCGUGAACGCUUAACCCAACGACGACAACCGCCUCCCCUGCCACCGCCACAACGGAAAUCCCAUCGAAAUCUGCAAUCAUUGAGUCCGAUCGAAAGAGGAAGGAGCCUGUAGAUCGGGCCGCUGCUGGAGAUCAUCGAAGUAAACACAAACACAACCACCACCACCACGACAAGAAGUCGAAAAUGUCAUCGUCUUCUUCGUCGGAUAAAGUUAGGGCCUCGCACAUACUUAUAAAGCAUGAAGGAUCUCGGCGUAAGGCUUCGUGGAAGGAUCCAGAAGGUCGAAUCAUCAGCAACACCACAAGAGACGCAGCUGUCUCUCAGCUCAAGACACUCCGCGAUGACAUAGUUUCGGGGAAGUCGAAGUUCGAGGAUGUUGCAUCUCGUUACUCCGAUUGUAGCUCUGCUAAACGCGGAGGAGAUCUCGGUUCAUUUGGAAGGAAGCAGAUGCAGAAGCCAUUUGAGGAAGCAACUUAUGCAUUGAAAGUGGGGGAGAUAAGUGACAUUGUGGAUACUGAUAGUGGUGUUCACAUCAUCAAGAGAACUGGUUAACCAAGACUCUGCAUUAUAACUAAGUGGAUUAGCAUCUAAAGACUAAAAUCAUAAAGGAAAAAAAACAUGCGAAUUUUCUGCGAUUAGAAGCAACAACAAAUUAUUACAACUUAGAUCUCGUGGGCUGAAUGUAAUAGAUUGUAAUCUGCGUUUAUUGACAUAUUUGACAGUUUAUUUGUUUGCAUUCCUGAAUAUUUAUGUUGGAUUUUAUGUUUUAAGAGGAGUCAAUAAUUGCAUGGAAAAAAUAUAAUUGAUAAUGAAA